GAUGAACGCUGGCGGUGUGCCUAAUACAUGCAAGUCGAGCGAACAGACGAGGAGCUUGCUCCUCUGACGUUAGCGGCGGACGGGUGAGUAACACGUGGUUAACCUACCUAUAAGACUGGGAUAACUUCGGGAAACCGGAGCUAAUACCGGAUAAUAUAUUGAACCGCAUGGUUCAAUAGUGAAAGACGGUUUUGCUGUCACUUAUAGAUGGAUCCGCGCCGCAUUAGCUAGUUGGUAAGGUAACGGCUUACCAAGGCAACGAUGCGUAGCCGACCUGAGAGGGUGAUCAGCCACACUGGAACUGAGACACGGUCCAGACUCCUACGGGAGGCAGCAGUAGGGAAUCUUCCGCAAUGGGCGAAAGCCUGACGGAGCAACGCCGCGUGAGUGAUGAAGGUCCUCGGAUCGUAAAACUCUGUUAUUAGGGAAGAACAAAUGUGUAAGUAACUAUGCACGUCUUGACGGUACCUAAUCAGAAAGCCACGGCUAACUACGUG
rnacentral:rRNA from 1 species